CCAGGCUCCUUUUCUCUCAUGUACAGAAGUCGUCUUCACCAUUUGGCUCCAGGAUCCAUGUUCCUGUUUGGUGUAGGUGGAAUGAGCGUGGAAGACAGGAAUGGAAGUGGCCCCCGUCACUCUCUUCACGUUUCAUUGAGCAGAACAUAUGAUGUGGCCACACCUGACUACAAAAAAAAUCUGGGUGCCCCCGAAAGACGGACAAAACAGCUAACUGCUGCCUAUAACAUUCAAGAGUCUGAAACUUUCUACUCUGGUAGAAACUAUAAUCUUGACUUCAGAUUAGCCCAGGAUGCUAAAGAAUAGCCUUUGAAUAUUUUCCCUGGGCCUUCUUUCCAUCUGACCCAAAAAGAAAAACAGCAACAUUCACCAGGGAAAGCUGUGCCAUCUGGGCCUUGGGUGAACCAAAAAAAGGGUAAAUGUGGGAAUCAAAUCUGCAGUAUGUAAUGUGAAAAUAGGAAGAAAAGGGCUAAAGGUAUAGGGGGAGUAGGAAAGGUGGGGGAAAGGAAAUAAGGGACAAGAAAAAAUAUGAGAAAAGGAAAAAAUGGAAACAAAGUCUUUGUAAAUAGGGGAGGGUAGAGGGGGUGUAGAGAGGGUAAGGGUAUGGGGAAAAAAUGAAACCCAAGAUCUGUCAUGUAAAGGUACAAGAACACAAUGAUGAAUGUAACUAUACUAUAUACUUUAAAAGUACCAAUAAACUCAAUAAGGUUAAAAAAAAACCUGCAGUAUGAGCAGUAGUGAAGUUCUUCCCCAAGUUCAAGUUGGUGUUGCAUCCUGACUCUAAU
rnacentral:lncRNA from 1 species